AUUGAACGCUGGCGGCAGGCUUAACACAUGCAAGUCGAGCGGAGAUGAGGUGCUUGCACCUUAUCUUAGCGGCGGACGGGUGAGUAAUGCUUAGGAAUCUGCCUAUUAGUGGGGGACAACAUUCAGAAGGGAAUGCUAAUACCGCAUACGUCCUACGGGAGAAAGCAGGGGAUCUUCGGACCUUGCGCUAAUAGAUGAGCCUAAGUCGGAUUAGCUAGUUGGUGGGGUAAAGGCCUACCAAGGCGACGAUCUGUAGCGGGUCUGAGAGGAUGAUCCGCCACACUGGGACUGAGACACGGCCCAGACUCCUACGGGAGGCAGCAGUGGGGAAUAUUGGACAAUGGGGGGAACCCUGAUCCAGCCACGCCGCGUGUGUGAAGAAGGCCUUAUGGUUGUAAAGCACUUUAAGCGAGGAGGAGGCUACUGAGACUAAUACUCUUGGAUAGUGGACGUUACUCGCAGAAUAAGCACCGGCUAACUCUGUGCCAGCCGCCGCUGUAAGAC
rnacentral:rRNA from 1 species